CAAUUUCUCAGACACAUUUACAAUGCGAAUUAUUUAUUCAAUGUGAUAAAUUGUGUUGUAAAUGCUUCCAUGCCGACAAAAUGAGGGUUUGGCCAUCAAGAUCUAUCCUCCUUAAAUUUUAGUUGGAGAACUUUAGUUGGAGAACUGCAAGAAUUUAUUCUUUAAAAUUAUUUUUUAAAGACAUCACCACCGAGAUAAAUAGAAAUAGAGGUGUCCAAACACUUCUCAAACAAACCGAAAACUGAAAUGCUACAUCCCCUUUGAAGACUAUCCAAACAAAAAUCGAGGAAUGUUAAGCUAAGAUAAUUUUUAUAUUUUAAUAUUCUUAAGUAAGUUUAACUACCAUACAUCACGUGUACAUUUUUAUGAACCCCUUUCUUUUGAAUAAUCACAUUCCUAUUAGUAUAAAUUGGCAAGUUUUCGAAAAAAUUAUGAAGACAUGUACUGGGCAGAAAUCCGAGUACCAUUUUCUGAGUACUAUUUAUCGGUAGGAAUACAAAUUAUUACGGGCCAUUCAUAAAUUAUGUAUGUAGAGCAAAAAUUGCAAUUUUCAACCCCACUCCCCUUUAAAAUGUGUCACAUCGACACGAAAUAAUCAGAGUCUUCUCCCCUCUCUAGAGUUACAUAAUUUAUGAACUGCCCCUUAUCAAAUACUAUUACAAAACCAAAAUUAUUGGGAUGGUUACAUAUGUAGAUUGUCUGGACAGAUUUGUUACGUAGAUUGUUUAAGCGGAUUAUAAUUUCCUUCUGUUUCAAUGUAAGUAUUCUUGUAAGUAACGUAAGUAACGUGCUUUAUGUGUGGUACAUGAGAUCUGUUAAUCAAAGCAGGCACCAAAGGUUUUAAUUUGGGCAUCAUGACAAAGAUUUCUUGGAUUGCGAGAAACUAAUUAUAUGUUUAUGCACUCAUUGAUUGAUUGAUUGAUUUUAGACCACGUGUGGUGUACAUGGGUAAUAAAAGG